UACCAGCACCCCGAGUGGUCGGGACGUUUAUUGGGCCUUACGCAUCCGUAGCCGGUUCUACAAGUCUUCCGUUAAAUCCAACUGCUUAACAGGUGGGCUGCGGAAGAUACUAUAGAGCUAGGAGGCGGGAGAGGCAAGCGGUACUCGAUGGGUAGGGGUAAAAUCCGUUGAUCCAUUGAAGACCACCAGUGGCGAAGGCGGCUUGCCAGAACGCGCUCGACGGUGAGGGAUGAAAGCUGGGGGAGCAAACCGG
rnacentral:rRNA from 1 species